UUUUUUCACUAGGGGAGCCUGAAUUGGCUGAGACGAAAGCGGUAAGCUUCGGACCCUUGGAACCUGAUCUGGAUCAUACCAGCGGAGGGAAGUGGAACUGAAAUUCG
rnacentral:ncRNA from 2 species